rnacentral:rRNA from 7 species
UGGGGAAUCUUGCGCAAUGGGCGAAAGCCUGACGCAGCCAUGCCGCGUGAAUGAUGAAGGUCUUAGGAUUGUAAAAUUCUUUCACCGGGGACGAUAAUGACGGUACCCGGAGAAGAAGCCCCGGCUAACUUCGUGCCAGCAGCCGCGGUAAUACGAAGGGGGCUAGCGUUGCUCGGAAUUACUGGGCGUAAAGGGAGCGUAGGCGGACAUUUAAGUCAGGGGUGAAAUCCCGGGGCUCAACCUCGGAAUUGCCUUUGAUACUGGGUGUCUUGAGUAUGAGAGAGGUGUGUGGAACUCCGAGUGUAGAGGUGAAAUUCGUAGAUAUUCGGAAGAACACCAGUGGCGAAGGCGACACACUGGCUCAUUACUGACGCUGAGGCUCGAAAGCGUGGGGAGCAAACAGG